AAGGAAGACAUUCGUGUUCAGCCAAUCAAAUUCUAUGUUUCUUAUGAUCAAAUUAAUCAGCCAAUCAAAAACGUUUUCUCUCAAGAUAAUUCUAACAUCCUAGAUUUUGAACUUGUGUUGAAUUCCUCUGUUUUUUUAAAAUCGUGAACAUGGCAAAUGGUUUUUUCACCUGCAAGGAGGUUCUUACACAGAAUAAGAAUAAAAGCAUGGCUGAUUGACAAACUUCAAUGAUGCAGUACUACCAUAAAGAUAAUAAAUAGUAGUUUAUUCACUAAUUUGAUAUUACACUUGCUGUAACAAAUGUUAUUUAUGUAUUUAAUUAAAAUACCAAAUCAUUUAAUGUACUAUUCUUUAUUUUUCACAUGGAAAAACAAAAAAACCCACAUGAGGAAUCCCUUAAAUGAGGGACUUGCCUUAGUCAAGGGGUCAUUUUAUUUCUGUGAAAAAUAAAAAUGAAAAAUGUAGAUUUUUAUUUAACUUAAUUGUAAAAAUGGGAAAUUCUGACAUUAUAUUUAGAACUACUUUUCUAAAUGUAGGGUCCAAUUAUUUUGAAAAAUAAAGAAGAUAUACAUGAUAUAUAUAAUAGGCCAAGAACAUACCAAAAUUCUUGGACAUGUGUUGACCAUAUUAUACCAGAUAGAUCAUAAGAUGUAUAAUUCUUUGGGAAAAGUUUCUUCAAAUAAUAUGAAUAUGUGCUCAUUUUUACUUAAAAAGUGGUUUUUAAUGUCCUUACAUUGAGGGGAUACCCCUAGGUGUUGUUCCCAACCUGAUAAAGGUCUUUCUUUGUGCAUUAUUUUAAAUUGGAAAAGUCAACAAUUAUUUAAUAUCCUUACACAUGAAAUUAAUUCCUGGUCUUGCAGCUACAUGUUCAUCUUUUCUACUGAUAUAUAAUAACUAGAAUCAUGCAAAUAAACUUAAGAAAAAGGCAUGUAAGCUCAUCUUACAAAUAUGACACUUUUUCUAGACCACAAAACAGCACACGCAAAAUAGUCGUCGCAAAGAAUUGUAACCUUUGAAAUUGUUGUCCCGCACUAAAACCCCCAUGGGCAAUUUCAAAACUUGGCAGGUAUGCGAUGAAUCCGGGUCUGUUCGCGCCCAAUCACGUUCGCACCCAUCCACAUUCGCCCCCAUUCACUUUCGCACCCCACAUGUUCGCACCCAAAUUUUGCGAAAAGUUCGUUCGCACCCCACACGUUCGCACCCA
rnacentral:lncRNA from 1 species